UUAAAUUGAAGAGUUUGAUCAUGGCUCAGAUUGAACGCUGGCGGCAGGCCUAACACAUGCAAGUCGAACGGUAACAGGAAGCAGCUUGCUGCUUUGCUGACGAGUGGCGGACGGGUGAGUAAUGUCUGGGAAACUGCCUGAUGGAGGGGGAUAACUACUGGAAACGGUGGCUAAUACCGCAUAACGUCGCAAGACCAAAGAGGGGGACCUUCGGGCCUCUUGCCAUCAGAUGUGCCCAGAUGGGAUUAGCUUGUUGGUGAGGUAACGGCUCACCAAGGCGACGAUCCCUAGCUGGUCUGAGAGGAUGACCAGCCACACUGGAACUGAGACACGGUCCAGACUCCUACGGGAGGCAGCAGUGGGGAAUAUUGCACAAUGGGCGCAAGCCUGAUGCAGCCAUGCCGCGUGUAUGAAGAAGGCCUUCGGGUUGUAAAGUACUUUCAGCGGGGAGGAAGGUGUUGUGGUUAAUAACCGCAGCAAUUGACGUUACCCGCAGAAGAAGCACCGGCUAACUCCGUGCCAGCAGCCGCGGUAAUACGGAGGUGCAAGCGUUAAUCGGAAUUACUGGGCGUAAAGCGCACGCAGGCGGUCUGUCAAGUCGGAUGUGAAAUCCCCGGGCUCAACCUGGGAACUGCAUUCGAAACUGGCAGGCUUGAGUCUUGUAGAGGGGGGUAGAAUUCCAGGUGUAGCGGUGAAAUGCGUAGAGAUCUGGAGGAAUACCGGUGGCGAAGGCGGCCCCCUGGACAAAGACUGACGCUCAGGUGCGAAAGCGUGGGGAGCAAACAGGAUUAGAUACCCUGGUAGUCCACGCCGUAAACGAUGUCUACUUGGAGGUUGUGCCCUUGAGGCGUGGCUUCCGGAGCUAACGCGUUAAGUAGACCGCCUGGGGAGUACGGCCGCAAGGUUAAAACUCAAAUGAAUUGACGGGGGCCCGCACAAGCGGUGGAGCAUGUGGUUUAAUUCGAUGCAACGCGAAGAACCUUACCUGGUCUUGACAUCCACAGAACUUUCCAGAGAUGGAUUGGUGCCUUCGGGAACUGUGAGACAGGUGCUGCAUGGCUGUCGUCAGCUCGUGUUGUGAAAUGUUGGGUUAAGUCCCGCAACGAGCGCAACCCUUAUCCUUUGUUGCCAGCGGUCCGGCCGGGAACUCAAAGGAGACUGCCAGUGAUAAACUGGAGGAAGGUGGGGAUGACGUCAAGUCAUCAUGGCCCUUACGACCAGGGCUACACACGUGCUACAAUGGCGCAUACAAAGAGAAGCGACCUCGCGAGAGUAAGCGGACCUCAUAAAGUGCGUCGUAGUCCGGAUUGGAGUCUGCAACUCGACUCCAUGAAGUCGGAAUCGCUAGUAAUCGUGGAUCAGAAUGCCACGGUGAAUACGUUCCCGGGCCUUGUACACACCGCCCGUCACACCAUGGGAGUGGGUUGCAAAAGAAGUAGGUAGCUUAACCUUCGGGGGGGCGCUUACCACUUUGUGAUUCAUGACUGGGGUGAAGUCGUAACAAGGUAACCGUAGGGGAACCUGCGGUUGGAUCACCUCCUUACCUUAAAGAAGC
rnacentral:rRNA from 1 species